AUACUUACCUGGCAGGGGAGAUACCAUGAUCAUGAAGAUGGUUUUCUUAGGGCGAGGUUUAUCAAUUGCACUCUGAAUGUGCUUAUCCCUGUGGUUUCUCAAGAUGUGGGAAACUCCACAGCAUAAUCUGUGGUAGUGGGGGACUGUGUUCAUGUUUUUCCCUG
ensembl:snRNA U1 U1 spliceosomal RNA